rnacentral:rRNA from 1 species
AGUGAACGCUGGCGGUAGGCCUAACACAUGCAAGUCGAACGGCAGCACAGGAGAGCUUGCUCUCUGGGUGGCGAGUGGCGGACGGGUGAGGAAUACAUCGGAAUCUACUCUGUCGUGGGGGAUAACGUAGGGAAACUUACGCUAAUACCGCAUACGACCUACGGGUGAAAGCAGGGGAUCUUCGGACCUUGCGCGAUUGAAUGAGCCGAUGUCGGAUUAGCUAGUUGGCGGGGUAAAGGCCCACCAAGGCGACGAUCCGUAGCUGGUCUGAGAGGAUGAUCAGCCACACUGGAACUGGGACACGGUCCAGACUCCUACGGGAGACAGCAGUGGGGAAUAUUGGACAAUGGGCGCAAGCCUGAUCCAGCCAUACCGCGUGGGUGAAGUAGGCCUUCGGGUUGUAAAGCCCUUUUGUUGGGAAAGAAAUCCAGCUGGCUAAUACCCGGUUGGGAUGACGGUACCCAAAGAAUAAGCACCGGCUAACUUCGUGCCAGCCGCCGCGGUAA